rnacentral:lncRNA from 1 species
AUUUUCGUACACAGCAUUUCAUGAAUAAUAUCCGUAAUUUCAAAGUAGAGUUUUCUUAUAAGUAGGACUUUUUAAAUUACUAAAGCUGCUUACUUUUGUCUGAAAUGUUGAUCAUACAUUUGGAAAUUAAGAGCUACUAUAGUGCUCUUUGAUUUAAUGCAGGCAUCCAUAAUGCCUGUACACAGGGUUGGAAUGAUAUGCAUUCGUGAAAAGAAAUUCCACUGCUCGCAGUAUCAUCUUGGAAUGGCACCAUCCAUACAAGUUGACGUUAUCUUCAUCUUUUGGGAUUACUUGGCAUGCCUACAGGUUGGUAUACUAACUUUACUGAUUGCCAAUUUAAUUCCUGAAAUGACUUUUACUGAUGUCUAAAACUGAUGCCACCCUGAAAAUCUGACAUAGCUAAAUGAGGUAGAAGCUUAGCAGAGUAGGAUAACCCUCCCCAUGUGUCAGAAGGUUAAUGUACUUGUGAGCAUGGGAAAUUAAUGGUGCACCCUAUCUAUUAAAAAUGCUUCAGUUACUAAACUUUGAUGAGUAAGAUCUAGAGGUGGCAUGAAAUUAAGAACAAGGUCAUGCUUCAUUUUUGGGAUAUCUUAGGACUAAAAACCACCUGAGCUCAAUUUUGCCACCAUUACCUUAAUUGGGUUCUCUCUUAUUUGUGUACGUUACAUGUUGGAUUUAGGCUAAAAGAAUCCUUACUUCUGAAAUUUUGGUCACCGAGUAAACAUGUACUAACUCGAUUAGCUUGAGGAAUUUUAUUAACUGUAGCAAUUUUUCUGCAGAUCAUUGUCACGCUCUCGUGACUGUUAGAAUUCUAUUCAGCAUCUUCACAGCAACUUCUUAUAUCUUCAAAGCUUCUCAUAACAUGUCUUUGUAACAGGCUUCCACGCACGUAUCAGAAGAAACAGACGAUCACUAGUGCAGAAAUAGAGAGAUUGUUAUAAAUUGUCUGGUUCAAGAAAAUUCCAGGAGUGUGUCCUGAUUUUGCUUUUGACUACACGAUGAAGCAUCUACCUCAGACAUUCGUUCUUAUGGAUGCUAUCACCGUAUUGUUUUGCUCUGAACACAAAGUUUUGUAUGACCAAAAUUUAAGCUUAGAGAAGUGAUGAAAUUGAAUAGUAAUUAAUUGAACAAGCCUUUAAAGUCUUGGCAUAAUCUAAAUUGUUAGAAUUUUCACAUGAUAAGAAGGGCUUUAUGAGAAGUUUGCCAAGAAAGUUGGAAAACAAAGACAAUGACAUUGGAAAAUUAC